AUCCGAUCGAAAAUGUGUGUUGGAUAUAUAGACUAGCAACUGCACUAGGAAUGGCGAAGCAAAAGAACGUGGCAGUUAAAGGUUAAGGAUUCUUAUUAUGUCAUGUUUUGGAUAUUCGAAAAGUGGC